rnacentral:rRNA from 1 species
UAGUACGAGAGGACCGGAGUGGACGCAUCACUGGUGUUCGGGUUGUCAUGCCAAUGGCACUGCCCGGUAGCUAAAUGCGGAAGAGAUAAGUGCUGAAAGCAUCUAAGCACGAAACUUGCCCCGAGAUGAGUUCUCCCUGACUCCUUGAGAGUCCUGAAGGAACGUUGAAGACGACGACGUUGAUAGGCCGGGUGUGUAAGCGCAGCGAUGCGUUGAGCUAACCGGUACUAAUGAACCGUGAGGCUUAACCUU